UGGCAAAGCCAACCUCAUUUGGCCCAGCCAGCAUCACUCAUGGCCCGUUACCAUAGAAACAGAUAGUUGUUUAGUGUAGCUGGUUAGCUAGCAAAAUUUUCGUUUAGGAAUUUGUAAUCCUUGACAAAUUAUGUGUGUACGGGUUGAACAAAUUGUUGCAUCGCUUGUGCGGGAAUUUCUCUGUCGGAAGGUUGCUUACAGAGGUUGUCUGUCCAUCACAUUGUACAUUAUCAUCAUUGGAAGCAUCAGAUACUCACCCCACAACUACCCAGAGAAGUAUCUGGAGCCAUAAACGUAGCCAGAGCCAGCAGGACUGACAGCCUGUACAUUCCUUCCUAGAUAAUGACAUCUCCACUAAGAGGGAAUCCUUUUCAAACAAAAAUACUGUUGUCACCUCAGAGAGUACUCAUAAGAAGAAAACAAGCCGCCCCAGACAAGGCAUGAUUGCAGGUCCCCAUAGCUAGUUCUACCCAGGAAUCCAAUAGAUAAUGCCAGACUCGACACCCUAAUCUUCUUCUGGUAAAUGAUGAAGACAGCAAAAACAGCAAAGAUGGGCCUCCAUUGAUUGUCCAGUCACAGAGAAUGGUUACGGGGCUGACCGAGCUCUCCCCUGCUGAGAGAAAGCCAACAGCCACGUAGCACACCGGGUAAAGGAAGUGAUGAAGAUGAAUAUGGGUUUGAGAGAGUAGGAAAAAAACAAUAUUGGAUGACGUGGACCAUAUAUUUGAUUGCAGACAUUGAUGAUGAUGAGGACGAGUUGAGUGAGCUCUCCAGAGUGUCCUUCCACUCCUCCAGUUUGCCUCAGCCCAGUUCUGAUAGUCAACCCAUGGUUUGCAUCCCAAAUGUCACCCUAUUCCUUACAUAGGUCACUACUUUUGACCAGAGCCCUAUGGGCUCUGAUCAAAGGUAGUGCGCUAAAUAGGAAAUAGGGUUCUAUUUGGGCUCGUAUAUGAUUACUGGACAGGAGCUCAAAUAUUUGUCCUGAUUUGAGUUCAAAUGCUGUGAUGUUUAGUGAUAAUGUCUUUCUGUGUUUUCUACCCUGAAAUGGCGCAUUCUUGGAUCUAGCAGCAGUUUCUUGCAGUGCCGAGUGGAGGAGUCAGAGUUUCACAUUCUCAGAUACACCAUAUCUGAGAUAUGGGAUUGUACAGAAGAAGGAGCUUGUCAAUUUAUUGUGGUUUUGGACGGGCUUGUAUUGAAUGUCUUCAACAACCACAAGGAGCUCGAUUCAGGCACUGGAAACCUGAACCUUCUCAAGGGAACAAGAGGUCGCAGUGACAUUAAAAUGCCGUCUUUAUUUAGAACGUUAUAAUAUCUGCAAGGCUGAAUUCCAACCUGAAGACUCCCAAGUUCCCUAUCUGGGCGAUGGGCAGCAAGAGCCAUUUCAGCGUGCCCUUCGGUGCACAGGAGCAGCUGUUGAGUGACCAGUGUGGGCUCAGUGUGGGCUCCUGCUGAUGGCUGAGCCAAUCAGCAGGAGGGAAUCUGCCUCACGCUGUAGCUGGCACAGGAAUAUCUGCCGGCUGCCAAGAUAUCAACACUGACCUCAUUCCUCCUCUUGAACACUGUAUACGGACAAAAAAGAUGCCAUUGUCGAUUGGAACGACACCAAGCCCAUACUUUGAUUGGCUGGUGGAUAGAAGGUGAUGACAGUCGAUGAGAUUAGGCUUCCCCCGUGGCUGGAGACAAAAUAUACGGCUUUGUUAUUAAAUAGAUGUACUUCCAAGUAUAUAUUUGUAUUGUAUAAAGUAUAUUAUUUGUAUUGUAUAAAUAGUAUUGUCUUUUAUCAACAACCACACGUAUCGACACGAUCAUGGAGGCCAUUUUGUCCAUGUCACUGAUGUCUUGAGAUGUUGCGUCAAUAUAUCCACAUCAAUUUCCCUCAUUGUUUAUGAAGAUGUUAUAGGUAAUGUGUUGAGUGAUGCAGGGAGUGUUGAUGCAUACGCCUUAAAACGAGUCAUUACCUCAUGGUAUCUUACAUGGACAUGCCCAAGAUAAAUAGGAGUGCCUUGGAUUUGUCAUAGCCUAUGACACGCAGCUUUCAAGACCAUUAGUCUUAAUGUAUUACACUAUCCAUAAUGUAUUAUGAUAUGUGGUGUGUAUUUUUGACUGUAAAUAUUUUAUAUGACUGGUCAGAGUAAUCUGUUUUAUUAAAAUAAAAGUUGUGGCUCACCUGUA